CAGAGAUCAGGAUCAGCGAGAUAACAGCCAAGUUUUCCAAGCGGACCUGUUCAGUUAGCUUGGCAAUGAAGUUCCCACUACUUGAGGUUUGACACCAAAUAACCUGAAAGAAACUGAUGUUAACUCAAGGGUUACUUUCCUAUUGUUCUGUCUCCCUGUUCCUGCCUUAUAAGGAAGCGUCUGUAAAUCAAACCCCAUCAGCGUAUAACAG
rnacentral:lncRNA from 1 species